UACGGGGGGUGCGAGCGUUGUCCGGAAUCACUGGGCGUAAAGGGCGCGUAGGUGGCGUCGUAAGUCUGUGGUGAAAGCCCGGAGCUCAACUCCGGGUCUGCCGCGGAUACUGCGAGGCUUGAGUGCUGUAGAGGGGGGUAGAAUGCCGGGUGUAGCGGUGGAAUGCGUAGAGAUCCGGCAGAAGACCGGUGGCGAAGGCGGCUUCCUGGACCGACACUGACGCUGGAGGCGCGGAAAGCUAGGGGAGCAAACGGG
rnacentral:rRNA from 1 species